UUAGGCUGUUAUUUAUGGAAUGCAGAUGAUAGAAAAAAAUCAAUAGAGUUUGAACUGCAGAAUAAAGAAGAAUGUCAGAUUCGUUGUCCACAUUCAAAGUAUGAGUUCUUUGUCUUCAAGGAGAAAACCUGCUACUGUUUAGAAGGAGACAAAUUACCACAUGAUGACAUAUCUCGAAAUAAAUGCUCGAACUAUACCGAAACGGACUACGUUUUCAUUUACAAGCAAAAUAUAGUACCAGAUAUCGAUACAGAUAGUACUGAUACACAUAACUGUGUAGUAGUGGAGUGUAAGAAUCUCGACCGCAUUUUAAAUGCUGAAAACUGUGAUUCCAUGUAUCCUGUGA